UGGCGAACGGGUGAGUAACACGUGGGUAAUCUGCCCUGCACUCUGGGAUAAGCCUGGGAAACUGGGUCUAAUACUGGAUAUGACCAUGCUUUAGUGUGUGUGGUGGAAAGUUUUUUCGGUGUAGGAUGAGCCCGCGGCCUAUCAGCUUGUUGGUGGGGUAAUGGCCUACCAAGGCGGCGACGGGUAGCCGGACUGAGAGGUUGGUCGGCCACAUUGGGACUGAGAUACGGCCCAG
rnacentral:rRNA from 1 species